rnacentral:rRNA from 1 species
AGGCUGAGACUUGAUGCAUACCCGUUGUGGGGAAUUCAGUGAUCCUAUGCUGCCGAGAAAAGCCUCUAGUGAGUUCAUACACGGCCCGUACCCCGAACCGACACAGGUGAUCAGGUAGAGAAUACCAAGGCGAUCGAGAGAACUGUGGUUAAGGAACUCGGCAAAAUGCCCCCGUAACUUCGGGAGAAGGGGGACCAUGCCCGGUGAACAUCUUCACGGUGGGAGCUGGGUGUGGUCGCAGAGACCAGAGAGAAGCGACUGUUUACUAAAAACACAGGUCCGUGCGAAGACGUAAGUCGAUGUAUACGGACUGACGCCUGCCCGGUGCUGGAAGGUUAAGAGGACCGGUUAGCCGUAAGGCGAAGCUGAGAAUUUAAGCCCCAGUAAACGGCGGUGGUAACUAUAACCAUCCUAAGGUAGCGAAAUUCCUUGUCGGGUAAGUUCCGACCUGCACGAAUGGCGUAACGACUUCUCUGCUGUCUCGACCACAGACUCGGCGAAAUUGCACUACGAGUAAAGAUGCUCGUUACGCGCGGCAGGACGAAAAGACCCCGGGACCUUUACUAUAGCUUGGUAUUGGCGUUCGAUUCGGUUUGUGUAGGAUAGGUGGGAGACUGUGAAGCAUGCACGCCAGUGUGUGUGGAGUCGUUGUUGAAAUACCACUCUGAUCGUAUUGGACGUCUAACCUCGGCCCAUGAUCUGGGUUAGGGACAGUGCCUGGUGGGUAGUUUAACUGGGGCGGUUGCCUCCUAAAGAGUAACGGAGGCGCCCAAAGGUUCCCUCAGCCUGGAUGGCAAUCAGGUGUUGAGUGCAAGUGCACAAGGGAGCUUGACUGUGAGACUGACACGUCGAGCAGGGACGAAAGUCGGGACUAGUGAUCCGGCACCGGCAAGUGGAAGCGGUGUCGCUCAACGGAUAAAAGGUACCCCGGGGAUAACAGGCUGAUCUUCCCCAAGAGUCCAUAUCGACGGGAUGGUUUGGCACCUCGAUGUCGGCUCGUCGCAUCCUGGGGCUGGAGUAGGUCCCAAGGGUUGGGCUGUUCGCCCAUUAAAGCGGCACGCGAGCUGGGUUUAGAACGUCGUGAGACAGUUCGGUCUCUAUCCGCCGCGCGCGUAAGAAACUUGAGGAAGGCUGUCCCUAGUACGAGAGGACCGGGACGGACGAACCUCUGGUGUGCCAGUUGUUCCACCAGGAGCAUGGCUGGUUAGCUACGUUCGGAAGGGAUAACCGCUGAAAGCAUCUAAGCGGGAAGCCUGUUCCAAGAUGAGGUUUCUCACCACCUUGCGUGGUUAAGGCCCCCUACAGACCAUGGGGUUGAUAGGCCGGAACUGGAAGCGCAGCAAUGCGUGGAGGUGACCGGUACUAAUAGGCCGAGGGC